rnacentral:rRNA from 1 species
GACGAACGCUGGCGGCGUGCUUAACACAUGCAAGUCGAACGGACAGGCCCUGCUUUUGUUGGUUGCUCGAGUGCCGAACGGGUGAGAAACACGUGAGUAACCUCCCCCUGUCUGUGUGGUAACUUCAGGAGACUCGGGCUAAUACCCCAUAGGAGCUCCUGCUGCGUAGGGGGGGUUGGUGAGUUUCGGCGGUUGUGGCUGGACUAGCGGGUUAUCAGCUUGUUGGUCGAGUAGUGGCUUACCAAGGCUAUGACGGGUAGGCGGCCUGAGAGGGUGACCGGCGACCUUGGGCCUGAGAUACGGCCCAGACGGCAACGGGAGGCAGCAGUCGGGAAUAUUGCAGAGUAGGCGGAAGCCUGAGGAAGCAACGCCGCGUGCGUAAUGACGGCUUACUGGGUGUAAACCGCUUUCGCCUGUGACAAAGCGUGAGUGACGGUAAUGGGUAAAGAAGCACCGGCUAACUACGUG